rnacentral:misc_RNA from 1 species
GUGGAAAUCCUUGAGUCACGCUGAAAAAGCACCGUAUGAAGCCAAGGCGGCUAAGAGAAAGGCUGAAUACGAAAAGCUUAUCAGAGCAUAUGACAGCAAGAAGGCUAGUGCAGCAGAUGACGAAGAGUCAGAGAGAUCGAAAUCUGAAGUGAAUGACGAGGAUGAGGCCAGUGAGGAGGAGCAUCAAGAAGACGAGGAUGAGGAGGAUGAGGAAGAUGAUGAAGACGAUGACUAAAUUAAAAGCAAGUUUCUGACGUUUAUAAUGGCUGACCCAGCUGGUGGAGGGAGGAACUAGUCAUGGAUGUUCAUAUCUUUAGUACUUUGCGUCUUUCUUAAGUUCUUUUUUGUAUUUGUGUGCAACAUGAUGAAGUGUCAUAUGGCACUUUGUGCGAUAUCUUUGCUUGCUUAAGUGGCCUCCUCCACUCUGCAUCGCCUUUGUCAUAUACAUUGUUAAAAUCUCUGGGUAUUUUGGCCUUAUUUUGAUAACCGAUAUAAAUUAUCGAAUACAUCUUUUGG